GUCCCUCAUCUGCGUCCGGAAGGAAGUCAUCCACCCGUCCCUCAUCUGCGUCCGGAAGGAAGUCAUCCACCCGUCCCUCAUCUGCGUCCGGAAGGAAGUCAUCCGCCCGUCCCUCAUCUGCGUCCGGAAGGAAUCAUCCACCCGUCCCUCAUCUGCGUCCUGAAGGAAUCAUCCACCCGUUUCUCAUCAGGCUGUGCUGGACGGGGCAUGACUAGCGCUUCCUCUGCAGGCUCAUGGAGUAUGUUCCGGGCUGUGAGCUCUUCAGCUACCUGCGCAACCGGGGGCUCUUCUACUCUGCAGAGAUCAUCUGUGCCAUCCUGCACUCUAAGGAGAUCAUCUACAGGGACUUGAAGCCGGAGAACAUCCUGCUGGAUAGGGACGGACACAUCAAGCUCACGGACUUUGGGUUCGCCAAGAAGCUGGUAGACAGGACUUGGACCCUCUGCGGAAUACCCGAGUACCUGGCCCCCGAAGUCAUUCAGAGCGAGGGUCACGGAAGGGCUG
rnacentral:lncRNA from 1 species